AUACGUAGGGAGCAAGCGUUGUCCGGAAUUACUGGGCGUAAAGGGUGCGUAGGUGGCCAUGUAAGUCAGGUGUGAAAGACCGGGGCUCAACCCCGGGGCGGCACUUGAAACUGUGUGGCUUGAGUACAGGAGAGGGAAGUGGAAUUCCUAGUGUAGCGGUGAAAUGCGUAGAUAUUAGGAGGAACACCAGUGGCGAAGGCGACUUUCUGGACUGUAACUGACACUGAGGCACGAAAGCGUGGGGAGC
rnacentral:rRNA from 1 species